UACAUUUAAGCUUCCAAAAUGAAUACAUAAUCAUAUCACAUAUAUAUAAUGCUAGCUAUCCAAAAUACAUCAUGUCAUCUAUAACCAUGCACACGAGGGUGCUCUAGUACAAUAGGAAAGCUCUACUAGCUAGCUAGGGCGCUAUGCCCUUACCGCGAUCUCCUGCCGGUCCGCUCACGUGUGUACCUGUACCCCAAAACCACACGGGGUGAGAACUAUAAAAAAUAUAGUUCCCAGUGGGUUCGGCCGCCGACUCCGCCGAUCUUCCCACUAGGUCUAAGCUGGCACAGAUAGAUAGAUAGAGAGAUAGAUAGAUAUUGAACUGCAACUAUGAUCUAUUGUGCCAUCAAAUGCAAGCAAUGCAUGAAAUAUCAACUAGCAAUAAGCCUACUAUCAUGAUAAUAUGCUUCAACGAUGUAAUGAAUACAAAUACGACAUAGUUAUGCAAUCCACUAACAUAUACUAUGUCUAAUCAGGGUAUGAAUGCAAAUCCACUUAUGCUAUUCAUGUCAUUACCCAAUCCACUAGGCUACCCCGCCCUUGUCUCAAAUCAUGUAGGUGAAGGACUACCCCGCCCUUGUUUCACCCGUCCCACAACUCUAACACUAUAGGUAAAGAGCUACCCCGCUCCUCGCCCAACUCAUAACUCAAAUGCCUAAGGGCAUGAGCUACCCCGCUCUUCGCUCCGACCCAAACUCAAACUCAUAGGUCAAGAGCUACCCCGCUCAUAGGUCAAGAGCUACCCCGCUCGUAGGUAAAGAGCUACCCCGCUCAAAGGUCAAGAGCUACCCCGCUCGUAGGUAAAGAGCUACCCCGCUCAUAGGUAAAGAGCUACCCCGCUCAAAGGUCAAGAGCUACCCCGCUCGUAGGUAAAGAGCUACCCCGCUCAAAUCUCACAGGAGAAGAGCUACCCCGCCCUUCGCCCGACUCACUUCCCAGUCCAAUGGGUGGGGAGCUACCCCGCUCGUAUCCCACCCAAUGAGCUACCCCGCUCAUGUGACAACUGAGGAUACCCUGUCAACUAGGUUAACCAUCACUUGAUAUUCCACCUAUCCCUAGGUCCAUGUCAAGUGUUUCAACCAUAUCAAAUCUCAAUGCCACUCACCUAGGUCUAAGCAACUCUAGGUUCCACAACACUAGGUUUAGAUGCCACAUAAUCUCCAUAAUUAACAAUAGGUUAACCUUCAUUUCAUCUAGCAUAUAUGUUCUAUAAGGCCAACAUGCAUCAUAAUGCUAAUAUGCCAUAAUCAACUAGCAUGCAAUCCAUUCAUAAUGCUACGUGCAUACAAUCUCCAUUACACUAGUUCACAUGUCACUAGUUUCAUUGUCAAGUCCAAGUUCUUUAUUCUCUUAUCAUCAUAGGAUCUCAUGUCUCAACCUUAAUCAUCAUGCAUUCUAGAUUUAAGUGUCAAGUCUAUAAUACUACACAACUAGACAUGCAUUCAAGGAAAGUAGAAAUGUAACUAUACAUAUAUCCUAUAAUGCAUAAGAACCAUAUAUAUGAAAUAUGAUCAACUAUUUUACUCGGACAUAGAAGGAAGCCCGAUUGCUUCGGAUAGACACCCCCCACCUUUUAUCGCGUUCCGAUUGCUCGUCGUCACUCGCAAUCGGCCUCCCGCGGCACACGCCGCUCGGCUUGACCCAAUCCGCGCGCGACCGCCAAACGACCUCCGAUCCGCGAUCCGAAAAUUAAAGGUCUUCGGUUUUCUAUUACGAUGCUUCAAAUCCGUUUCCAGGACUUUACGACGUCGCCUCGGCCCUCUAGGCGGAAACGAAGCCUAAACGCCCGUUUCUUUAAUAACUUUGUACCGGCUCAACGAAUCGCCGAACCGUCGCUUCCAACGCAUUCAGUGACCUAGCAAUUAGGUUUACGGAGGGUCAAAUUAGAUCAUACCCUCAUAUUUUCAAAAUUAGCAUUUUUGAGCCCUAACAUGCAAUUACCCCCAAAUAAUCCAAAUUAAAUGGAGCAAUAUGCUAAUAAUGAUCAUUAGAGGCUACUAGAACCCUUAAAGCUAAGGAUUAAGCCAAAUCCCAAAAGCUUACCCCANN
rnacentral:lncRNA from 1 species